UACGUAGGGCGCAAGCGUUGUCCGGAAUUAUUGGGCGUAAAGAGCUCGUAGGCGGUUUGUCGCGUCUGCUGUGUAAACCUAAGGCUCAACCUUGGGCUUGCAGUGGGUACGGGCGAGACUAGAGUGCGGUAGGGGUGACUGGAAUUCCUGGUGUAGCGGUGGAAUGCGCAGAUAUCAGGAAGAACACCCGUGGCGGAAGGC
rnacentral:rRNA from 1 species